rnacentral:lncRNA from 1 species
GAUGAUUUUGAUGAGUGGCCUGAGCAGGACUGCUCUGGAAGAUCUUUCUUCAGAUAAAUUAUUUGAAGAGCGUAUACCUCAUAUUUGCAACAUAUUAAAGUUUGCUGUUCUUAAAAAAGAUCAUUCGUUGAUGGCCACCGGUGGUCCUUGGGAUCCCACAGAUGGCAUGGACCCAUCAGUUGAUCAGUCUUCCUUAAUCACGACAAUGCUGAGGUGUGUUUCUUCUCUUGUUCGUUUUUGUCAUUCUUUUCUACCUUGUAUUCAUUGUCUUGAGGCAUGAAAGGUCUUUUGCGUUGCAGACACACAAAGGAUAAGCUUCAUCUUGAUCUGAGCAACUGCCGUCACUGGAAUCCCUUUCUUGAGGUAGGUUUGACAUCUCUUAGUUUAAGACUGCAUUGAGAUGUUGAACAAGUGGGGACGUCAUAGUAGAGUAUCCGAGCUUAUUAGUGGUUGCUUUAUUUAUUAAUGUUUUCGUUAGUGUAUUAAAUAUUUUUUCUAACUGUCUUAAAUUGUUGGACCCUCAACCACUGCUAUUAGCCUAUCCAAAGAUUUGCUAUGAAUAGCUUUGCCAACUUUGUUAACUUGGUUCCUCGAUUGCAUAUUGCUGUAGAUAUGGUAGCUUCAGUAUAGAUACAUACAAAGCUAACCAAGCAAUAUUAUUUACUUGUUAUCUGGAGAUCUAAAUAGCUUUGUUUGACCUCUUUUUUUUUGGCGUUUACAGAUACAUUACGACAGAGUUGGUACGGAUGGAGUUUCAAUCUUCAAAGAGAUCACUGUACUAUUUGUCCCUGAUUUAUCAGAAUGUCUUCCUUCAUUUGACGCUUGGAGAACCCAAUGGUUGGCACACAGGAAAGUUCUUGCUGAGAGAGAUAGACUACUUUCUCAGGAGGCUAAGAAAGAUGUCAUUGUAGGAAAGGGAAGUGAUAAUGCCGGUGAAGUAGCCAAGGAUGCGGAGAAAAAGACCCCAGGAACUAAGAAGGUGGUGAAAAAGAUUGUUAAAAGAGUUGUUAAAAGGCCUGUCAACGAUGGAAAGGCAACUGAUAAGAAAGAUGAGAAGCCGGAUGAAAAGGAUGUUCCUGGAAAGGUUGCCAUUUCAGGUGAUAACCAAGGGGAGAGCUCAGAUCCUAGUGCUAAGGGUAAUGAACAGACUCCUUCAAAGACAAUCGUAAAGAAAAAAAUCAUCAAAAAAGUGGCUAAAAAGAAGAUUGCUGAAGUAGACAAUAACAUGGACGGUGACUUGAAGAAUAAUGGAGACAAUGAUGAGGAAAAGGUGGUGGACGCAGAGAAGAAAACUCCUGAUUCAGGUAGUAUGGAGAUGAAAUCUCCUGCAGGAAAGAAGGAAGAGAGUGCCUCCAAAAUUGUGGAAACAAAACAGAAGGCGGGAUCUCCGAGUACUGAGAAAAAGGAGGGUGCUUCUAGUUCAACAAAGAAGGACAUUAAGGCAGGUGAAGACAAGAAGGCUGAAAAGAAAGACAAGUCAGAGAACCAAUCCGAGGGCAAAAAGGUUGACGAGAAAAAGGCAAAAGAAAAAAUUAACGAGAAAGAAAUUAAAGAGAGAAGUGGAAAAGAUGAGUCCAUAAUACAAGUGAAGGACAAGAAAAAGUCUGACGAACCUCCUCGGCCAGGAUUUGUUCUACAAGUGAAACGGAACAAAGAUUCUAAAGUAGGUGGACAAUAAGUCAAGGUUUCAGGUUUAGUAAUAGCAGCUUUCACUUAUUUGGAGUUUUUUUCUUUUUAGCAGUUGCGUUCACUUUCGGUCUCCCUGGACUCGCUUUUGGAUUACACUGACAAGGACAUUGAUGAGUCAUCAUUUGAGGUUAGUCUUUUUCCUGUGUGGUUACUGCUUUGCUUAGCAUGUUUCCAUUGUCUCUCUUAGCUAACCAAUGUACGUGUUUUGUUAUAGCAACUGAACUACUAAGUUUUCAUCAAUAUUAUGUAUGUGCUUGCAGCUUUCAUUGUUUGCUGAAUCGAUGUUCGAGAUGCUACAGUAUCAAAUGGGUACUCGUAUCUUAGAAUUUCUCAAGGUUGGUUUGUAACUGAUUUAUGAUGUUUUGUUUUUUGAGCUUACAUAACUGUUUUCUUACACUUCUUUUUUUUGUCCUUGGUAGAAAUUACGUGUAAAAUUUGUGAGAGAGAGAAACCAACGAAAGAGGCGUCAAGAAGAGUUAUCUGCCAAGGAAAAGGAAGCAAAAGCACAAAAUAAGCGUCAAAAGACUGACAAGGAAGCCACUGUUACAACUGAAUCUGUUCCUGAGAAGGAUGACAAGAAAAAUUCAGCAAAGGAAACGGUAGCUAACACUGAAGACACUAAAAAAGCCACCGGUGAUGAAGCUGCUACGAUGGAAGCGGAUAACCAGGAUGAGGAGGAUGAAGAGAUUGAUGAAGACCCAGAGGAAGACCCUGAAGAGGAUCCUGAAGAAGACCCUGAGGAAUGCGAGGAAAUGGACGAUGAAAAUCCUGAGCAAGAAGAAACUGCUGAAGAGGUAUGAUUUAUACAUUAUUUGCCAUGCAGUUUCCAACUUACAUUAUCGUAAGUUUUAUUUUAGCCAACAAGAUGUUAUGUUCAUCAAUCUUGUCCAUUUGUUCUGUGUCUCUUCUUCAGCCGCAGAAGAAUGAAGAAAACAGUGAGAAGACUAGCAGCGCUGUUGCUCGUCCUAUAACUGAAGUCGCAACUGAUAGAAAAGAAGAGAUCGUGGAGAAGACUGAUUCCAAAUCUGCUGAGAUCAAACCCAAGUCGGAGUCAGGCAAGCACGGGAAGCAAGAGGAAGGAACAUCUGAUGCACCAAAAAAAGAAGAAACGGUUGGAGCGUCGCCGUGAGAACCUGCGUGCCAGAGAUAAGGAGCGAGAACGAGAGAGGGAUCGCGAACGUGAUAGAGAGCGAGAACGAGAGCGGGAGAAGGAACGAGAAAAGCAAAGAGCUAGGGACAGAGAAAGGGAUCGCAUACGGGAGAAGGAAAGAGAAGAUGAAAGAGAACGUGAUCGAAAACGCGCUCUCGAAAGAAAACGUGAUCGGACUCCAACAGCGAGAGCUACGUCCAGGGACCCAAAGGAGCGGACUCCAGUGCCGAAAGCUGUUUCUAGGGAUGCACGUAGUUCCUCUUUGCGGCGGGAUGCACAACAUCGUGAAGCAUCAAUUAGGUUUUCUUUUUUAUCCAUGUCACGCUCUUCAUCUGGAAUGCAGGGGAUUUUAUGUUGCUUCUUCGCAAGACACUAACCUUAUUUCUGUUAUACCUGAAGGCGUCCUUCACCAGUUAGGCCAAUACGGAGAGAUUAUGUCUGCAAGGUAACAAGUGUUCAGAGAAAUUCCUCAUUCCGUGAUGUUUUUGCAUACUCCUCUGGGUUACCUCAUCUUCCUUUCCAAUCCUGCAUUCUCCUUGCUUUCUUAUUGAUUGACUUCCAAUUUCAGCUUUCUCAUUCUUUUCCUCCUUUACCUUUGGUUACUAUACUUCCUCUUUCCUUCUGACAUCUUGUCACCUUGGGGUAUUAUUAUCCUGCCUUUUGAACUCAGUGUGACAAAUAUUCCUGGUAGAAAGUGCUAUGUUUUCCUGAGUUUUGUAUUAUUUGGGAGGGAAAUUUUGCAACCUUAUAUAUUGUUCGUCUCUAGUUAAUUUUCCUGAUUGCGAUUUUUUUUCUUUGGGACUUUGCAUUGAAGGAAACUUGUAAAAGUUCACAAGGAUGAAACAAUGGAUGUUAUUUUUCGUUGAUAAGACGCUUUAUUGAGAGUUACCCGCCCUUUGUAUCCUGAGUAAUGCAAUGAUUAAGACCAAUGUACAUAAUUUGAUGACUUGUUUGUAGGUUUUAUCCUCGCGCUUGGUUGACAUGGAGAGGGAUUACGUGACACUGGAUAAAAGAUAUCCAAGGCUUUUUUUACCUUCUGAGUUUUCCAAGGUAUCUGUUUGUCUAUCUGCCAAUAAUUUUCUAAUCCUUAGGAGAGUACCAAGUGAUCGUAAACCUCAAUAUAUAUGUUUCAGGUUGUGGUGAACUGGCCGAAACAAAAGCUUACACUUUCGAUGCAUACUGCUGUGAGGUGAAUUAAUCCUACUUUCUUGUUUGCAAAUUGUCAGUCUGAAGAUUUUAAUCGUGUUCAAGGAGUUCAAAUAGAUCAUAUUUUAUUUCUCUUGCUGAGUCAGUAUAUUAGAGCUAGAUUUUGGAUUCACUUUUGCUUUAUUAUAUAUAUAGUCUAAGAUUUGUAAACAUCUUUGUUUGUAACUGAAACAAAUCUAAUAUAUAUUGAAAUUCAUUUUUAACAUGUAUUUUAUUGCUCUUUAUGGUAUAGUUUGUGUUUGCAUGUUCUUUACGUUAUUGAAUGCUUUAUUUGCAUGUUCAUCAUCAUAGUAAUUUAGUUUUUUUUUUUUUUUAAUCACAGUUUCAAGUGGUCUUCAAGGCGAGAGCCUCGAUGCGCCAUGGCGCAAGGCGCAAGGCACAUACUUCAUCGCCAUGGAGCGCCAUGAGCCUUUUUAAACACAGGCCUGAGCAGGACUGCUCUGGAAGAUCUUUCUUCAGAUAAAUUAUUUGAAGAGCGUAUACCUCAUAUUUGCAACAUAUUAAAGUUUGCUGUUCUUAAAAAAGAUCAUUCGUUGAUGGCCACCGGUGGUCCUUGGGAUCCCACAGAUGGCAUGGACCCAUCAGUUGAUCAGUCUUCCUUAAUCACGACAAUGCUGAGGUGUGUUUCUUCUCUUGUUCGUUUUUGUCAUUCUUUUCU